UACGAAGGGGGCUAGCGUUGCUCGGAAUCACUGGGCGUAAAGGGUGCGUAGGCGGGUUUCUAAGUCAGAGGUGAAAUCCUGGAGCUCAACUCCAGAACUGCCUUUGAUACUGGAAGUCUUGAGUAUGGGAGAGGUGAGUGGAACUGCGAGUGUAGAGGUGAAAUUCGUAGAUAUUCGCAAGAACACCAGUGGCGAAGGCGGCUCACUGGCCCAUUACUGACGCUGAGGCACGAAAAGCGUGGGGGAGCAAACAGGG
rnacentral:rRNA from 1 species